rnacentral:tRNA from 1 species
GGUUCCGUAGCUCAACUGAAUAGAGCAUUUGACUACGGAUCAAAAGGUUGUGGGUUUGAAUCCCGCCGGAAUCACCA